AUUGAACGCUGGCGGCAGGCCUAACACAUGCAAGUCGAACGAGUGGCGGACGGGUGAGUAAUGUCUGUGACACUGCCCGAUGGAGGGGGAUCACUCCUGGAAACGGUAGCUAAUACCGUAUACCCUCGGCUGUGCCCAGUUGGGAUGAGCUAGUAGGUGGGGUAACGGCUCACCUGGGCGACGAUCCCUAGCUGGUCUGAGAUGAUGACCAGCCACACUGGAACUGCGACACGGUCCAGACGCCUACGUGAGUAAGCAGUGGGGAAGAUUGCACAAUGGGCACAAGCCUGAUGCAGCCAUGCCGCGUGUAUGAAGAAGGCCUUCGGGUUGUAAAGUACGUUCAGUGAGGAGGCGUUACUCGCAGAAGAAGCACCGGCUAACUCCGUGCCAGCAGCGGCGGUAAUAC
rnacentral:rRNA from 1 species